rnacentral:rRNA from 1 species
UGCUGUUAAAGAGCUCGUAGUUGGAUCAAGAGUUGGACAGUGCACGGUGGCCCCAUUUGUUUAGCUGGCUCCGGUCAGUUAGACGGUGGCGGAACAACCCCGUGCGCCAAACUGUCCACUCUAACAGACCGAAGCGGUUCCCUGUGAGUAGGCUCCUUAAUUGGGGCUGAAAGCGCCUACGCAUCAACCAUAUGCAUACGGGACGUCGGUCAAAGUUACUGUGAACAAACCAGCGUGUCCAAGGCAGGCUUUCGCCUGAAUGUUCGAGCAUGGAAUAACAAGGGAUCGAUUCUCUCGGUUCUUUUUGUUGGUUUUUAACCCGAGAAGGAGAAAUUCAGGCCACGGUGUCUGAGUUGGGUUUCCCAGGGCUUCGGCUCUGGCCCCAAUUAGGCCGUGUCCUUACGGGAUCAAUAGGGACUGACGGGGUCGUACCUACUUCCGCGUCAGAGGUGAAAUUCUUAGAUCGCGGGAAGAGGAACUUCAGCGAAAGCAUUCGACAAGAAUGUCUUCAUUAAUCAAGAACGAGAGUGUGGGGAUCGAAGAUGAUCAGAUACCGUCGUAGUCCACUACUGUAAACAAUGCCGCCUCAGGAUUGAGAAGUGAACAGAAUGACUUUCACAGCACUAACC